CUGUCUGCCCCCUAGUGUAAGAGUUCUCGCUGCCUAAAAGGCAACUUUAAAAGAAAAGAGCUCUUAAAGGGAAACGACUUUGGGCUCACGUAGGCAUAGCAGAAUGAAACUUCUGUACAUUUUAAUCUGAACAAUUCUUCAGGGUUUAAAAUUAAUUGGCUCUGGCUUGGUUGGACCGGACUCCGAUCUCGCCACCUCUGCGUUUCCUGAGUCACUGCCGGAGAGGUGAUGAUUUUUUUUUUUUUCUUUCUGAACUGGGUUUAUGUGUGUCCCCCUCACCCCCUCCUCUCUUUUUUCUUUCUCUAUCUCUGUCGUCUCUCUCGCUGGCUUUUUAAAAAUGAGGAACCGUUCCUUGAACGUUCUGGACAGAGCACAGAAUUGCUUAAGUCAGCCCGACACGGUUGUAAUAGACAGCAAAAAGGUAAACGUUUGCCUGAAAUCCGCACGCCAGCUCCACUACCCCGCCCGAUGAGAAGAAUAAUGGGGAAACACGGAUCUUUUAUUUUAGGAAACUGUUAUGGUAAGAUGUAUGUCAGACUUGACAAAUGGAACUAACCCUCUUCGGCUGCUUCUUGUCCUUGUCUUAAACAGGAAUUAAGUUAAACACAGUGCUGAAUGUUAAUUACAUGUUUACUGGCUAAUGAAAAUUACAAAUGGUUUAGCCACCUCAAACAAUGAUGAAAACUCUGAAGACACUGUAAUUAUAUACUUUGAGGGAAAUAACUCAGAAUAUUGAUCAUAAGAAGUGUAAAUCUUUUUUUAACUAUUCAUUAAUACCAUAAAUAUGGGCUACAGAAGUUUUUCCUUGUGGUUUGUCUCAUCAGUUAUACGAGUGGAUGGAUGGUGAGGCUUCUCUGGGGAGGUGAUGAACUCAUUCUCUUAUAGAAAGAGGCCACUUGUGUAACUGGGGGUGCCCCCCUCCCUUUCACCCCCGCCCCCUUUAACCCCAGCAGAAGGUCGAGGGAUAGUUGAACAGGGGGGCCGGGCUCAGGGCAGGUGAAGGUGAUCACAGCUCAGCCUCUUUCCUCCCCUCCCCUUGUCCUCCUCUCCCUCCUCCCUUUCCUGCCAGGUCUGAUCGAUGACUGCCUUCCCCAGCCAGGGCGCCUGUCGGAUAACCUGGCGUUUGGGUUCCUAAUGGAGGACAACUCACCGCAACCCAGCGAUGCCGCCCUGACAACCCAAGUUCCCUCCUUUAGAGGUGGCUAGGGCAGUUCAUUGCAAAAGAAGAAGAAGAAAAAAAAGGAUAACCGGUUUCUAAAACAUUGUGGAAUUCAAGGCUCCAUAAUGGAAUCAAGAAGUCAUGAACAGCUCCCUUGGAAGGAAGCUUGGAGGACACUGGUCCAACUUCCCACUGAAGCCAGAGGUCUGGAAAUGGGCAGAUGGUCAGGCAGACGACACCGAUUCAGCAUUUUCAAGAGUUGUAAAUUCAAGGCAGUCGUUUCUCAGUAUCCAUCUGGGAUUGGUUCCUGGACCUCCGAGGAUACCAAAAUCCGUGGAUGCUCAAGUGCCUUGUAUAAAUGAUGUAGUACAAUUGGCCUUCCCUAGCGGCAGGUUCCGAAUCCACAGAUUCAUCUAACUGAGGAUCGAAUUUUGGAUGAAGAAAAAAAGGAGGAUAUGCAUUACUAAGAAUCAAAGGAAGUGCCUGACUCUAUAACAAAGAGAAAAGCUUCAAAAUGAUUGUACAACAUGAAGACAGAAAUAACCAUAUUAAGAGGUCAUUGGUCCGACUUCUCCAGAAACCUCCCCUGGGCAGCGGUCUCUACCUCUGUUACAGAAGACUGCAAAAAUACCAGCCAUUGUGCAUCUGGCCAAUUAUGCAAUGUUCUGUCACAAGGGGAAAUUCCUUUCUCACUCCAGCUGGUGAGCAGUUAUGCCCUGGAGCCCAGGACGGACAUGCCUUGUAACUUUUUAACCUAGUUAGUGUAACUGCCAAUAUUAUUCCUAUUCAUAUAAAUGUCUAAUCCUUUCUUGAAUCUUGCUAGACUAUUUGCCUCAAUAAUAUCCUGCGGCAAUGAAUUCCACAGGUAGAUUAUAUGCUGUUUUAAAAAGUAUUUCCUUUUAUUCAUUUUAAAUUUGUUACCUUUUAAUGUCACAAGAUGGCCCUUGUUCUUGCAUCAAGUGGUACAGGGUACAGGCAUUUCAAACUGAGCUUUAAUUCUUCCAAGCACUUUCUCCGCCAUUAUUAAAACCCUAUAUUCUUCAUAUAUUUUCUACUUUGGCACGUGUAAUCUUGAUUAAAUGGGAUGA